GGCGCGAAAACUUUACAAUGCUGGCAACAGCGAUAAGGGAACCUCGAGUGCCAGGUUACAAAUCUGGCUGUCGAGAUGCCUAAAAAGCAUUUCAUAGCAAGGGCCGGGCAAGACCGGUGCCAGCCGCCGCGGUAACACCGGCGGCUCGAGUGGUAACCGUUAUUAUUGGGUCUAAAGGGUCUGUAGCCGGCCGGAUAAGUCUCUUGAGAAAUCUGGCAGCUUAACUGUCAGGCUUUCAGGAGAUACUGUCUGGCUCGAGGCCGGGAGAGGUGAGAGGUACUUCAGGGGUAGGGGUGAAAUCUUGUAAUCCUUGAAGGACCACCAGUGGCGAAGGCGUCUCACCAGAACGGACCUGACGGCAAGGGACGAAAGCUAGGGGCACGAACCGGAUUAGAUACCCGAGUAGUCC
rnacentral:rRNA from 1 species